UUCGAUUAAGCCAUGCGAGUCGCGAGUCUUAGGGACUCGGCGUACCGCUCAGUAACACGUGGGUAACCUGCCCUAUGCCGGGGAAUAACCUCGGGAAACUGAGAAUAAUGCCCCAUAGUUCACCACGCCUGGAACGGUGGGUGGAUCAAAGCUCCGGCGGCAUAGGAUGGGCCUGCGGCGUAUCAGGUCGUAGGGGGUGUAAUGUACCCUCUAGCCAUCGACGCGUACGGGUGUUGGGAGACAUUGCCCGGAGAUGGAUUCUGAGACACGAAUCCAGACCCUACGGGGUGCAGCAGGCGCGAAAACUUGGCAAUGCGAGAAAUCGUGACCAGGGAACUCCAAGUGCAUCGGGUAAGACCGAUGCUUUUCUUGACUCUUCAACGGUCUUGGAAUAAGGGGUGGGUAAGGACGGUGCCAGCCGCCGCGGUAAUACCGGCGCCUCAAGUGGUAGUCGCUUUUAUUGGGCCUAAAACGUCCGUAGCCGGUUUGGUACAUUCGUGGGUAAAUCAAGGCGCUCAACGUCUUGAAUUCUGCGAGCACGGCCAGACUUGGGACCGGGUGAGGUGUGGGGUACUCUCAGGGUAGGGGUAAAAUCCUGUCAUCCUGAGAGGACCACCUGUUGCGAAGGCGCCACACUAGAACGGAUCCGACGGUCAGGGACGAAGCCUAGGGGCACGAACCGGACUAGAUACCCGGGUAGUCCUAGGUGUAAACGCUGUGGACUUGAUGUUGGGAGUGCUCCGAGCACCCUCAGUGUCGAAGCGAAGGUGAUAAGUCCACUGCCUGGGGAGUACGGUCGCAAGGCUGAAACUUAAAGGAAUUGGCGGGGGAGCACUGCAACCUGAGGAUUGUGCG
rnacentral:rRNA from 1 species